AUCAAACCCAGUCUAGUAAUGCUAGCAUAUAAAAUAUUCUAGAAAAUAUUAAAGUCUUUUAUUUUAUUUUAUUUUAUUUUUUUGAGGCGGAGUUUCACUCUUGUUGCCCAGGCUGGAGUGAAUGGCAUGAUCUUGGCUCACUGCAACCUUGCUUUCCGGGUUCAAGUGAUUCUCCUGCCUCAGCCUCCUGAGUAGCUGGGAUUACAGGCAUGCGCCACCAUGACUGGCUAAUU
rnacentral:lncRNA from 10 species